rnacentral:rRNA from 1 species
GGUUAAGUUAGAAAGGGCGCACGGUGAAUGCCUUGGCACUAGGAGCCGAUGAAGGACGGGACUAACACCGAUAUGCUUCGGGGAGCUGUAAGUGAGCUUUGAUCCGGAGAUUUCCAAAUGGGGAAACCCACUGUUCGUAAUGGAACAGUAUCUUUAUCUGAAUACAUAGGAUAUUGAAGGCAGACCCGGGGAACUGAAACAUCUAAGUACCCGGAGGAAGAGAAAGCAAAUGCGAUUUCCUGAGUAGCGGCGAGCGAAACGGAAUUAGCCCAAACCAAGAGGCUUGCCUCUUGGGGUUGUAGGACACUCUAUACGGAGUUACAAAGGAACGAAGUAAAUGAAGCGACCUGGAAAGGUCCGUCGAAGAAGGUAACAACCCUGUAGUUGAAACUUCGUUCCCUCUUGAGUGGAUCCUGAGUACGGCGGAACACGUGAAAUUCCGUCGGAAGCUGGGAGGACCAUCUCCCAAGGCUAAAUACUACCUAGUGACCGAUAGUGAACCAGUACCGUGAGGGAAAGGUGAAAAGCACCCCGGAAGGGGAGUGAAAGAGAUCCUGAAACCGUGUGCCUACAAGUAGUCAGAGCCCGUUAACGGGUGAUGGCGUGCCUUUUGUAGAAUGAACCGGCGAGUUACGAUCCCAUGCAAGGUUAAGCUGAUAAGGCGGAGCCGUAGCGAAAGCGAGUCUGAAUAGGGCGUUUAGUAUGUGGUUGUAGACCCGAAACCAGGUGAUCUACCCAUGUCCAGGGUGAAGUUCAGGUAACACUGAAUGGAGGCCCGAACCCACGCACGUUGAAAAGUGCGGGGAUGAGGUGUGGGUAGCGGAGAAAUUCCAAUCGAACCUGGAGAUAGCUGGUUCUCUCCGAAAUAGCUUUAGGGCUAGCCUCAUGUUGUGAGAGUCUUGGAGGUAGAGCACUGAUUGGACUAGGGGCCCCCAACGGGUUACCGAAUUCAGUCAAACUCCGAAUGCCAAAGACUUAUCCAUGGGAGUCAGACUGCGAGUGAUAAGAUCCGUAGUCAAAAGGGAAACAGCCCAGACCACCAGCUAAGGUCCCCAAGUAUACGUUAAGUGGAAAAGGAUGUGGAGUUGCUUAGACAACCAGGAUGUUGGCUUAGAAGCAGCCACCAUUUAAAGAGUGCGUAAUAGCUCACUGGUCGAGUGACUCUGCGCCGAAAAUGUACCGGGGCUAAACGUAUCACCGAAGCUGUGGAUUGACAUCUUUGAUGUCAGUGGUAGGAGAGCGUUCUAAGUGCUGUGAAGUCAGACCGUAAGGACUGGUGGAGCGCUUAGAAGUGAGAAUGCCGGUAUGAGUAGCGAAAGACAAGUGAGAAUCUUGUCCACCGAAUGCCUAAGGUUUCCUGAGGAAGGCUCGUCCGCUCAGGGUUAGUCGGGACCUAAGCCGAGGCUGAAAAGCGUAGGCGAUGGCCAACAGGUUGAUAUUCCUGUACCACCUCCCCGCCGUUUGAGUAAUGGGGGGACGCAGUAGGAUAGGGUAAGCGCGCUGCUGGAUAUGCGCGUUCAAGCAGUUAGGCUGAUGAGUAGGCAAAUCCGCUCAUCAUAAAGGCUGAGCUGUGAUGACGAGGGAAUUAUAGUACCGAAGUUCCUGAUUCCACACUGCCAAGAAAAGCCUCUAGCGAGGCGGGAGGUGCCCGUACCGCAAACCGACACAGGUAGGCGAGGAGAGAAUCCUAAGGUGAUCGAGAGAACUCUCGUUAAGGAACUCGGCAAAAUGACCCCGUAACUUCGGGAGAAGGGGUGCUCUGGUAGGGUGUAUAGCCCGAGAGAGCCGCAGUGAAUAGGCCCAGGCGACUGUUUAGCAAAAACACAGGUCUCUGCGAAGCCGCAAGGCGAAGUAUAGGGGCUGACGCCUGCCCGGUGCUGGAAGGUUAAGAGGAGGGGUUAUCCUUUGGGAGAAGCUCUGAAUCGAAGCCCCAGUAAACGGCGGCCGUAACUAUAACGGUCCUAAGGUAGCGAAAUUCCUUGUCGGGUAAGUUCCGACCCGCACGAAAGGCGUAACGAUCUGGGCACUGUCUCAACGAGAGACUCGGUGAAAUUAUAGUACCUGUGAAGAUGCAGGUUACCCGCGACAGGACGGAAAGACCCCGUGGAGCUUUACUGUAGCCUGAUAUUGAAUUUUGGUACAGCUUGUACAGGAUAGGUAGGAGCCUGAGAAGCCGGAGCGCUAGCUUCGGUGGAGGCGUCGGUGGGAUACUACCCUGGCUGUAUUGAAAUUCUAACCCGCGGCCCUGAUCGGGCCGGGAGACAGUGUCAGGUGGGCAGUUUGACUGGGGCGGUCGCCUCCUAAAAUGUAACGGAGGCGCCCAAAGGUUCCCUCAGAAUGGUUGGAAAUCAUUCGUAGAGUGUAAAGGCACAAGGGAGCUUGACUGCGAGACCUACAAGUCGAGCAGGGACGAAAGUCGGGCUUAGUGAUCCGGUGGUUCCGCAUGGAAGGGCCAUCGCUCAACGGAUAAAAGCUACCCCGGGGAUAACAGGCUUAUCUCCCCCAAGAGUCCACAUCGACGGGGAGGUUUGGCACCUCGAUGUCGGCUCAUCGCAUCCUGGGGCUGUAGUCGGUCCCAAGGGUUGGGCUGUUCGCCCAUUAAAGCGGUACGCGAGCUGGGUUCAGAACGUCGUGAGACAGUUCGGUCCCUAUCCGUCGUGGGCGUAGGAAAUUUGAGAGGAGCUGUCCUUAGUACGAGAGGACCGGGAUGGACACACCGCUGGUGUACCAGUUGUCUUGCCAAAGGCAUCGCUGGGUAGCUAUGUGUGGACGGGAUAAGUGCUGAAAGCAUCUAAGCAUGAAGCCCCCCUCAAGAUGAGAUUUCCCAUAGCGCAAGCUAGUAAGAUCCCUGAAAGAUGAUCAGGUUGAUAGGUCAGAGGUGGAAGCGUGGCGACAUGUGUAGCUGACUGAUACUAAUCGAUCGAGGACUUAACCAA